rnacentral:rRNA from 1 species
AUGCCCGAGAUCCCAAGGCCCGAACUGCCGCAUCCGGUUGUGCCUGAGGUGCCAAAGGAGACUCAAGCGCCACACCCAAUCGUUCCGGAGGUUCCAAAGGAGCACGAUGUGCCACACCCUGUCGUGCCGGAGGUGCCAAAGGAGCCUGAAGUGCCACACCCUGUCGUGCCAGAGGUACCAAAGAGCACGAGCUGCCGCACCCUGCGAUGCCAGAGUUGCCGAAGCCUGAAAUGCCACACCAUGCCAUGCCAGAGGUGCCAACGGAGCCCCAUGUGCCACACCCUGAGGUGCCGAAAGAGCCCGAGUUACCGCACCCUGUUGUGCCAGAGGUCCCGAAGCACGAAAUGA